GACGAACGCUGGCGGCGUGCUUAACACAUGCAAGUCGAACGGAAAGGCCCUGCUUUUGUGGGGUGCUCGAGUGGCGAACGGGUGAGUAACACGUGAGUAACCUGCCCUUGACUUUGGGAUAACUUCAGGAAACUGGGGCUAAUACCGGAUAGGAGCUCCUGCUGCAUGGUGGGGGUUGGAAAGUUUCGGCGGUUGGGGAUGGACUCGCGGCUUAUCAGCUUGUUGGUGGGGUAGUGGCUUACCAAGGCUUUGACGGGUAGCCGGCCUGAGAGGGUGACCGGCCACAUUGGGACUGAGAUACGGCCCAGACUCCUACGGGAGGCAGCAGUGGGGAAUAUUGCACAAUGGGCGGAAGCCUGAUGCAGCAACGCCGCGUGCGGGAUGACGGCCUUCGGGUUGUAAACCGCUUUCGCCUGUGACGAAGCGUGAGUGACGGUAAUGGGUAAAGAAGCACCGGCUAACUACGUGCCAGCAGCCGCGGUGAUACGUAGGGUGCGAGCGUUGUCCGGAUUUAUUGGGCGUAAAGGGCUCGUAGGUGGUUGAUCGCGUCGGAAGUGUAAUCUUGGGGCUUAACCCUGAGCGUGCUUUCGAUACGGGUUGACUUGAGGAAGGUAGGGGAGAAUGGAAUUCCUGGUGGAGCGGUGGAAUGCGCAGAUAUCAGGAGGAACACCAGUGGCGAAGGCGGUUCUCUGGGCCUUUCCUGACGCUGAGGAGCGAAAGCGUGGGGAGCGAACAGGCUUAGAUACCCUGGUAGUCCACGCUGUAAACGGUGGGUACUAGGUGUGGGGUCCAUUCCACGGGUUCCGUGCCGUAGCUAACGCUUUAAGUACCCCGCCUGGGGAGUACGGCCGCAAGGCUAAAACUCAAAGGAAUUGACGGGGCCCCGCACAAGCGGCGGAGCAUGCGGAUUAAUUCGAUGCAACGCGUAGAACCUUACCUGGGUUUGACAUGGAUCGGGAGUGCUCAGAGAUGGGUGUGCCUCUUUUGGGGUCGGUUCACAGGUGGUGCAUGGCUGACGUCAGCUCGUAUCGUGAGAUGUUGGGUUAAGUCCCGCAACGAGCGCAACCCUUGUUCACUGUUGCCAGCACGUUAUGGUGGGGACUCAGUGGAGACCGCCGGGGUCAACUCGGAGGAAGGUGGGGAUGACGUCAAGUCAUCAUGCCCCUUAUGUCCAGGGCUUCACGCAUGCUACAAUGGCUGGUACAGAGAGUGGCGAGCCUGUGAGGGUGAGCGAAUCUCGGAAAGCCGGUCUCAGUUCGGAUUGGGGUCUGCAACUCGACCUCAUGAAGUCGGAGUCGCUAGUAAUCGCAGAUCAGCAACGCUGCGGUGAAUACGUUCCCGGGGCU
rnacentral:rRNA from 1 species